rnacentral:rRNA from 1 species
UACGUAGGGUGCGAGCGUUGUCCGGAAUUACUGGGCUUAAAGGGCUCGUAGGUGGUUUGUCGCGUUGUUCGUGAAAUCUCACGGCUUAACUGUGAGCGUGCGGGCGAUACGGGCAGACUAGAGUACUGCAGGGGAGACUGGAAUUCCUGGUGUAGCGGUGGAAUGCGCAGAUAUCAGGAGGAACACCGGUGGCGAAGGCGGGUCUCUGGGCAGUAACUGACGCUGAGGAGCGAAAGCGUGGGGAGCGAACAGG